CGUAACAAGGUCUCCGUAGGUGAACCUGCGGAGGGAUCAUUAAAAAAAGAGUUGCAAGACUCGAAAACCAUCGCGAACAUACCUCUCGUCGUUGCUUCGGCGGGCUGCUCGCCAGGGCGCCCGCCGGAGGACCACCAAACUCUGUUUUCUUAGCGUAUCUCUGAGUGGACCACAAAAAUGAAUCAAAACUUUCAACAACGGAUCUCUUGGUUCUGGCAUCGAUGAAGAACGCAGCGAAAUGCGAUAAGUAAUGUGAAUUGCAGAAUUCAGUGAAUCAUCGAAUCUUUGAACGCACAUUGCGCCCGCCAGUAUUCUGGCGGGCAUGCCUGUCCGAGCGUCAUUUCAACCCCUCAAGCACUGCUUGGUGUUGGGGCCCCUACGUGCGCCGUAGGCCCCGAAUUCCAGUGGCGGGCUCGCCGCGAACCCGAGCGUAGUAGCUUUUGCCUCGCUCAGGGCCCGCGGCGGGCGCCUGCCGUGAAAGAACCCACAUUCUAAAGGUUGACCUCGGAUCAGGUAGGAAUACCCGCUGAACUUAAGCAUAUCAAUAAGCGGAGGAAAAGAAACCAACAGGGAUUGCCCCAGUAACGGCGAGUGAAGCGGCAACAGCUCAAAUUUGAAAUCUGGCCUCGGCCCGAGUUGUAAUUUGCAGAGGAUGCUUUUGGCGCGGCGCCUCCCGAGUCCCCUGGAACGGGGCGCCACAGAGGGUGAGAGCCCCGUAUGGUAGGACGCCUAGCCUGUGUAAAGCUCCUUCGACGAGUCGAGUAGUUUGGGAAUGCUGCUCAAAAUGGGAGGUAAAUUCCUUCUAAA
rnacentral:rRNA from 1 species